GACUUUGCCAGUACACUUUGAUACACACUUCAGGAAGUGUGUAUGAUUAGCCCCGCCCCUCCGCCCAUCCAGCCAAUGCGAAUCGUUCUUCUACUGCAGCAAGGCGGGUUUCUGUGCAACGUCAUCGCAGAUGUGCGCGCGCAGCCAGGGGGCCGAAAGCAGCAUUUGUCAUUUGUUUACCAGCGGAGUCAGCGGAGAACGAAAAUGACAAGGAGCUGUUGUGCUGUAAACUGCACGAAUCGGCAAAAGGAUGGAAGGAAACUGUUUAAUAUCCCGAGAGGAUCUCAUCCUUUUGCCAAGAGAAGAAGAAGAUUGUGGCUCCAGGCCAUUAAAAGGGCGGAUUGGGGUCCCGAAGGUCCUAAAGGCGGCGAGAGUCUGUGCAGCGCCCACUUCGUUUCUGGGUCACCGUCCAUGGAUUGUGAUAGUCCAGAUUUUGUUCCAUCCGUUUUUUCACACAGCAGCAACAGAGACAUCUCGGGAAAGGUGGCAAGAUAUGAAAGAAAGAGAAUAAGAGAUGAAGAUAAGGCCCCUGCUACCUGCCCCACAAGCCAGCCUGAAGCAGAUACUGUAGAUUAUUCUGAAGAUGAAUGUAAGUUUGUGUCCAGAAAAGAGAUGCACCAACUCAACCUGCAGUACAACCAGCUCCGUGAUGAUUAUGAAGCUCUGAAAAGAGAACUGUAUGCCACACAGGAAGAAAAUAAACAUCUGAAGGAGCAACUGAAGCAGUCCAAGUUUGGGUUUGAUUCCAUAAAAGACACAAAUGCUAAAAUAAUUUUUUUUACUGGUUUACAAUCAUUACAAAUGGUUAUGUGGCUGCUGGAUAUUGUAAAAAGAAGCACACUUGUGCUUAAGGGUGGGUUAAGUUGGGAGAACCACCUCCUUUUGGUUCUAAUGAAAGUAAGACUUGGACUCACCAACAGAGACCUUGCCUACAGAUUUGGGCUUCCAUUCUCAACUGUAUCAAAAAUACUAAGAGACUGGAUACCCAUGUUGUCCUCAAUAGUGAAACCUUUGAUAAUGUGGCCUAGUAAGGAUGCAGUGAGAGCAAACAUGCCAAAGUGUUUUAAACCCAAAUUUAGGAAUUGUCGAUGUAUUAUAGACUGUACUGAAAUCUUUAUAGAAAGAACACACAAUCUUAAAGCAAGGGCUGAAACCUGGUCAAAUUAUAAGCACCAAAACACAAUGAAAUAUCUAAUAGGAAUCACACCAGCAGGAGCUAUAUCUUUUUUGUCUAGUGGGUGGGGAGGUCGUGCCUCUGACAAGGUAAUAACUUUUUUCUUAAAUGCUGUUGUCCAGCAUCCAGUAUUUAUAUGCACGCAAACUGUCCUUAGUGUACACACUAGGCUUCUCAAUCAGAUAACUGUAUAUGUCGGGCCAUGAGCUGGCCAUUUGGACAUAUCUGCAAUCCAUUCCUCACUCGGAAUACUAUAUGGGUCUGGUAAUUUCUCACCAGUGCUGAGGACCAGUUUGUUCAGGUAAUCGGUGAAGUCUGAGCUGCUGAGGCUGUUGAGAUGUAAUUAGUCUGAGCCAUCUCUGUCAAGACCUAGCUAACAAGCUGUCACAAUUAAAAAAAUAUUAUAAUAUAUAGAAUAACCAAAUUUUAUUUUGUAAAAUGUUUUUGUUGCAGUUAACGUUUGUCUGGAGGAAUUUCAAAAUAAAACAAAAUAUAGACUCAUACAAACGAAAUCCUGCUUAAUCAUCACCUAUGGGCUUCUACCAUACAGUAUGGCUUCUACUCAUGUGGUGGUAACUCUGAGUGCAUGUUUGGUGACUUCUUCAGCCAAUGACAGCGUAGGAGAAGUUAGGGUCCCCCACAUGGGUGACUUUUGCUUCAGUUUCUGACGCAAAAGGGUACCCUUGCGCUGCCUUUUUAGACGCAUGGGGUUUUCAACUAGUUACAAUGUAACCCUUUGACGGGGGACCCGA